rnacentral:rRNA from 1 species
AUUGAACGCUAGCGGGAUGCUUUACACAUGCAAGUCGAACGAGGGGCGGACGGGUGAGUAAUAUAUCGGAACGUGCCCAGUAGCGGGGGAUAACUACUCGAAAGCGUGGCUAAUACCGCAUACUAUUAGAGCGGCCGCUAUCGGAUUAGCUAGGUGGUGGGGUAAAGGCUCACCAAGGCAACGAUCCGUAGCUGGUUUGAGAGGACGACCAGCCAAACUGGGACUGAGACACGGCCCAGACUCCGACGGUAGGCAGCAGUGGGGAAUUUUGGACAAUGGGGGAAACCCUGAUUCAGCCAUCCCGCGUGUAUGAGAAGGCCUUCGGGUUGUAAAGUACUUUUGGCGGGGAAGCGGUAUCUGCAGAAUAAGCACCGGCUAACUACGUGCCAGCAGCCGCGGUAAUUC